rnacentral:rRNA from 1 species
AACGAACGCUGGCGGCAGGCUUAACACAUGCAAGUCGAGCGCCUCGCAAGAGGAGCGGCAGACGGGUGAGUAACGCGUGGGAACGUACCCUUAUCUUCGGAAUAGCUCUGGGAAACUGGAAGUAAUACCGAAUGUGCCCUUAGGGGGAAAGAUUUAUCGGAUAAGGAUCGGCCCGCGUUGGAUUAGCUAGUUGGUGGGGUAAAGGCCUACCAAGGCGACGAUCCAUAGCUGGUCUGAGAGGAUGAUCAGCCACAUUGGGACUGAGACACGGCCCAAACUCCUACGGGAGGCAGCAGUGGGGAAUAUUGGACAAUGGGCGCAAGCCUGAUCCAGCCAUGCCGCGUGAGUGAUGAAGGUCUUAGGGUUGUAAAGCUCUUUCACCGGAGAAGAUAAUGACGGUAUCCGGAGAAGAAGCCCCGGCUAACUUCGUG